rnacentral:rRNA from 1 species
GACGAACGCUGGCGGCGUGCUUAACACAUGCAAGUCGAACGGAAAGGCCCUGCUUGCAGGGUACUCGAGUGGCGAACGGGUGAGUAACACGUGGGUGAUCUGCCCUGCACUUCGGGAUAAGCCUGGGAAACUGGGUCUAAUACCGGAUAGGAGCCAUUUUUAGUGUGAUGGUUGGAAAGUUUUUUCGGUUUUGGAUGAGCUUGCGGCCUAUCAGCUUGUUGGGGGGGUAAUGGCCUACCAAGGCGGCGGCGGGUAGCCGGCCUGAGAGGGUGGACGGCGACAUUGGGACUGAGAGACGGCCCAGACUCCGACGGGAGGCAGCAGGGGGGAAUAUUGCACAAUGGGCGCAAGCCUGAUGCAGCGACGCCGCGUGGGGGAUGACGGCCUUCGGGUUGAAAACUCCUUUCGCAAGGGACGAAGCUUUUUGUGACGGUACCUAGACAAGAAGCACCGGCUAACUACGUG